rnacentral:sRNA from 1 species
UAUUACAAGAUGAUUUGAUAACAGUGGU